rnacentral:lncRNA from 1 species
GAAAAAAGGCUUAAAACUACUCUUUUUAUGACUGAUUGUUAAUGAUCUCAGCUGAAAUCAGAAUUGCUGCCCCACUGGCUUUACGGGAAACUGAUAGAAGUUGGGAAAACAAUAUCCAUUUCUGAGAAGGAAUGUUCAAAGAAGCUAAGGAUGACCAGUAUAAAAAUUCACAGGUGUGUAUGUGUGUACCUUUUAUCAAAUGGUAGUAGAAAGUGAUCCGAGUUAAUGUAAAAAUUGAUUCCUAAGGAGCAAAUAGCU